GGCCUCCACAAACCAACUUAUGCGGUUUUUUUUUUUUGUUUUUUGUGUCAAAAACUUAAAAUAUGCAUUUGAUAAUGGUCAAGUAACAUUCAAUUUCAAUUUUAGACCCUCCAUCCACAUUCUCUCCUUCACUCUCCAGCUCGUCCUCCUUUUGCUGGCCUCAUCCUCCGCUCGCACCAUGUGGCUCCAUCACUUUGGCAUCGUGUGGGUCUGCUGUCAAGGCUAACAAAAGUUUGAAACUUUUUCGACUUCAUCAUUUUCGCACGGCUUUAUUCUUCCACUGGCAUUCUUGCUGCCGACACCCACCAUCAUCGUCUGGCUUCGCCGAUAAGGCGAUAAGGAAAGUUGAAGAUGCAUUUGACCACUGUUGUAGGAAGCUGAAGAUGCAACUCUGUUGUUGGGUUGCUAAAGAAACUUGUUGAAUUCAUGAACUGUCACUCUUGUUCAGAAAAAUAGCUUUAUGUAUUUUAUGAAAAAAUAUAUGCACAAUGGGUGCUGUUGUGGUGUGUUAUUACUAUAUGUAUUAUAUAUGCAUUCAAAAACAGAGCAAGCACAUCUGGAAUAUAGACAAGUGUGAUCAUUUUAAUGCU